UAAAAGGUUUGAGAACCCUAGAAACGAACGCAAAUAAUACAAACUUCAACAGAAUUGGCGGCACAAUGGUUCUUUUUUUUGUAGAAUCAUCGACGCAAUGAUUCUUGAAAAAGAAAAAAAAAAUGGAAACAAGGAAUUGGCGGCACAAUUAAAUUUUUAAAAUUUUCGUGAGCUAAUUUUCAGGAAAAGAUAUCCCAUACACAAAUCACUUCCGGUCAAUCCCUUAUAUAGUUAUAUAAUAGCACCAGAAAAAAGAAAAAAAAUCUCUUCUCAUAUUCACACUUAUACGAUAACUCUGAUUUUCUACCGGCCGCCCUCUCUCUGCGUCGAACACUUUUUCAGCCUCUGCUGAACUUUAAAGGAAUAAGGGAAAAGUGCAACAAGAAAAAAAGCAAGAGGAAGUCAAGAUGACGUUGAAUGUCAAUUGUGGCCUACAGGAUUUGCAUACUCGCAUAGCUAGAUAAAUUUAGAUUUUGAUAUUUGAUGUUACAUUUUUUACAAUUUUUUUUUCAAUUUGACAUUUAUAAUAUAUUUGUUUUUAUAUUUUAAAUAAGUGAUAUUCUUAUUUCAUUUGAGUGAUAUAUAUUGUGUUGAUUUUCUCUUAAA